rnacentral:rRNA from 1 species
UGGGGAAUAUUCCGCAAUGGCCGAAAGUCUGACGGAGCAACGCCGCGUGAGUGAUGAAGGUUUUCGGACUGUAAAGCUCUCUUGUUUAGGACGAAAGUGCCUGUUGCGAACAGUUACAGGUAUUGACGGUACUAAACGAGGAAGCCACGGCUAACUACGUGCCAGCAGCCGCGGUAAUACGUAGGUGGCAAGCGUUGUCCGGAAUUAUUGGGCGUAAAGAGCAUGUAGGCGGAGAUUUAAGUCUGUUGUGAAAAUGCGGGGCUCAACCCCGUAUUGCGAUGGAAACGGAAUUUCUUGAGUGCAGGAGAGGAAAGGGGAAUUCCCAGUGUAGCGGUGAAAUGCGUAGAUAUUGGGAGGAACACCAGUGGCGAAGGCGCCUUUCUGGACUGUGUCUGACGCUGAGAUGCGAGAGCCAGGGUAGCGAACGG